rfam:Camelus ferus unplaced genomic scaffold scaffold1982, whole genome shotgun sequence.
UUUUUAGUGUAAGUAUGUUCCACGCAAUAUUUGAGAUGUACUUAUGCUAAAA